rnacentral:rRNA from 1 species
AGAACGAACGCUGGCGGCAGGCUUAACACAUGCAAGUCGAACGCUCGUAGCAAUACGGGAGUGGCAGACGGGUGAGUAACGCGUGGGAACAUACCCUCCGGUUCGGAAUAGCUCAGGGAAACUUGGAUUAAUACCGGAUACGGCCGAGAGGCGAAAGAUUUAUCGCCGGAGGAUUGGCCCGCGUUCGAUUAGCUAGUUGGUGAGGUAACGGCUCACCAAGGCGAUGAUCGAUAGCUGGUCUGAGAGGAUGAUCAGCCACAUUGGGACUGAGACACGGCCCAAACUCCUACGGGAGGCAGCAGUGGGGAAUAUUGGACAAUGGGCGCAAGCCUGAUCCAGCCAUGCCGCGUGAGUGAUGACGGCCUCAGGGUUGUAAAGCUCUUUCGCUCGGGACGAUAAUGACGGUACCGAGAUAAGAAGCCCCGGCUAACUUCGUGCCAGCAGCCGC